rnacentral:lncRNA from 1 species
AUGAAAUGCCUUCCAGUUUGGGGCCCAAUAGUGGCGCGGUAGGACGACCCAUAGCACCUCUAACGUUACACCCCAGGCUGCUGCGAAAUGUUCUGAAUCGUAUGACCUCAGACUCCUGGUUCAGGCUAAUUAAGCCUCUUCUGACAGUACAGAAUGUUCUGGUUUGCAGCAGCAGCGGUUGUGCAACUGUUUAGACUGUACACCUUUGCUCCGGGGAGCUAGCGUGGCUCCCUCUGCCUCUCUUUUGUUUCUCUGUGAAGGAUCCGGGGCCCAGGCGGGCUGUUUCCUUUUUGGUCCGUGCGGCACACUCCCUGAUCUGAGGUGCCCGUUGUCCAGAUGUUUUGCUGAAAUCUCUUGGAGCUGGGUGGGCACAUCAUGCCGACUGCUGCAGAGGUUGCUCCACGUGAAAGCAUGUGCCGUGAGGCUCUUGUUACCUGCUCAGUAGAGUCAGUGGCUCUCUCCCCUGCGAUGCUGUGAGCCAAGACACUCGAGAUAAAAAUCAACUAAGAACUUCGCGCCAGCCCGGGGGAGGCACGACGCCCAUUCUCUGAGCAUCGCUGCUCGCUGUUGCUGUGGUGAUGCCCCUGCGCGAAGCGUGAGGCCCAUGGUGUGGCUGGAAUGAUGCAUCGUGGAUGACUGUGCUCCUAGUUGACAGGUGGCAUCUGUUGGGACCCAGUGGUGUCACACUUUGCUGUGCAGGUGUGAGAAUCGCUGCUCUCGUUCUUGCAGGAGUUGGAAAGGAAACUUUGCCUUUCUGUCUCCGAGGCUGCCUGCAGCCUGCUGGGCUCUGCUUGCUGCACGUGGGCCAACCCAGAGGCCAUUUCCCCAGCCGGUGGAUCUCAAUCUUCCAUGGGCUCCGGACUCACUUGGGGCCUGUGUUACACUGCAGAUGUCACUGUGCCACCCCCACAGCUCUGGUUUUCAAUUUCUGGGGCAGGGCCCCAUGUGUCAAGAGAUACUGUGCCCAAGCUUUGUAG